rnacentral:lncRNA from 1 species
CUACAAAGAAGCAAGGACUCAAAACCCUGGUUCCUCCACUAAUUCCCUGAGGACAUUAGCAAGGGACCACUUUGCCUCUCCGAGCCUGAGUUUUUAGACCAUAACAUGGAGAGCCUCAUACUUGCCCUGCAGGUGGUUACAAAGAUGGGGUGAGAGACACACAGCUCCCUGCACAGGGAAUGGGCCCUGGUCGGAACUUCCCAGCAGGGCACUAGUGGAAGUGGCUACUGUAGAUUUCAAGAAACUCCCAGUCUGGGGAAAGGUCCAAUGUUAACAGAUAAAGGUCACUGGUGGGAUGGGUAUGACUGUAGUUUUUGAAGCUAACAUUUACUGAACGUGUACCACAUGCCAGACACUGUGGCACACAACUGCACCUGGAUGAUUCCAUUCAUCCUGCACAAAACUGUCUGAAGCAGAGACCAGUUGUUCCCAGUGAGAAGCCUGCGGCUCAGGCAGUUUUAGCUGUAUGCCCAGGACAGAGAGCUGGAAAGGCGCAGAGGCAGGAUUUCAGUCUGGACAUCUGACCCCAGAGGUAGAUUUCGAGGUGCAAUGAGACAAAAAGGAGCCAUGCAGGAGGGCUUUACAGAGGUGAGGCCGGAGAGGCAAAGAGGAGCUCUGCAGGCCCCAAGGCAUGGGAGGAGGUGUUGGGGCAGGAGGGCAAAGCAGGUACACAGAGUCAGCAGGACCUGGCCCCUGGUGUUCAGGAGUUCAGGGGUUGGAGUGAGGGUUUGGCAUGAGGACAGUGGGGUCUAGAGGAUGAGGAAAGGAGGAGCAGACAGGGUAGUGGGACACCUGAAAGGCCAGGCACAGGACUUGGACUUUCUACCUGGAGGAUAUGGGGACUAAUGAAGGAUGUUAAAGGCAGGCUCAGAGCAGGAGUGUGAUCUACUUACCUGUGUGCAAAGAGGAGAUGACUCCGACAGCGUGUUGGAACCAGUGUCUUCAUCAUGUUUUCCAACUAAAUUACAACUUUCUACAAACCGUUCAUGUACAAGUUCCACUUCCUCCCCUAGAAGCCAAUUAGUUCCUUAAGUUUAACUCCGACCCUAAUUGCUUGUGGUCUCCCACAGUACCUGGCAUUGGUAGGUGCUUAAAAUUUUUAUUGAAUGAAUAAGUAGUUAAAAGCAUGAGAGGAUUUCACAUUUAGGACCAUGGUCUCUGAAAUACUGAAUUUUGAGCUAGAUUUAAGAAAAUGCAUACAUCUGAGUUGGAUCACAGACCUGAGCGUAAAUGGGAAAACAGGAAAAGCUUCUAGAAGAAAGCCCAGGAGGAUAUCUUGAUCACAGGAUUUCUUAAACAGCAUAUGAACACACCAGCCACCAAAGAAAAGACUGAUAAAUUGAACUUCAUUAGAAUUAAGAAUUUCCGUUCCUAAAAGAGACCACUUAAAAGUAAAAAGGCAAACUAUGAACUAGAGGCAGAAAUUCAUCUUUACAUACAUAUACUGAAAAAACCCUUGCAAAUUAAUUUAAAAUAAUGGGGCUAAGGGUGUGGCUCAGGGAUAGAGCACUUGCUUAGCAUGAGUGAAGCCCUGAGUUGGAACCCCAGCUCCACAAAAAAGCAGCAGUAGUGACAAAACUUGAAUAACCUCCUAACACCAACCACAGAACACCAAGUGGUUACAUGGUAUAUAAAAAAGGCAUUCACCAUCAUCAUUCACCAGAGAAAUACAAAUGAAUACAAGAGAUGUCAUUGCACAUCAAUCAGAGGGUACAAUUAAAUGACUGGCAUCACCAAUUACUACAGGAUGUGGAGCCACCAGAACUCUCAGACAGUACUGGUGGGAGUAUAAUUUGAAAAACUUGGAAAACUUCGGCAGUCCCUGCUCAGGCUGAACAUAUGCCCAUCCUACAACUCAACAGUUGAACUCUUAGACCUAGCCUCAAAAGGAAAAAGUGUGGACAUCCCACCAACACUCUUUAAGAACAUCCAUAACAGUUCACUGCAAUAGUCCCAAACUGGGAACCAUCCAAAGAUUCAUCAAUAGCAAAGUGGGUAAGUUGUUACACAUCCACACAAUGGUACACUCAUAGCAAUAAAGAAAUCAUUGCUACAAGUGGCAAAAAGGAAGGAUCUCAAAGACCUCAUAUGGAGUGAAAAAAACCAAACACAAAAGCUGAAGUAAAGGAGAAGUUGGGAGAGUGGUACUGAGGAACAGCACGGCUGAGAGCACCUUCAGGUCUUACUCGAAAUGUCCUUCAUCUUGACCUGGCUGGUGAUUUCACGGGUAUCAUCAUCCCCAAAUGUGCACGGAGCUGCACACACGAGGUUAGUGCACCUUACUCUAGGCUAUACUUUGGCAGAAACUUUUUAAAAAAUAAAUGAAAAGUAUUAAUUAGUUCCAAAACUUGGUGGUGAAAGAAGAGGUCUGACAUAUUUCAGAAAAUAGAUGAAUGGAUUAAAUGCUAAAAACAAAAUAAAGGCAGGGGGCAUGAAAAAAAUGGGGUAGAAUGGAAUGUUUAAAGAACUGUAAGUGUCAGAUAGAGUUAGAAAAUAGAUGAAGUUUGCCCAAAUCCUAGGGAGAAGCAAGAAGGGAGCUUGUCAACCCAGGCCUGGAGGAGGUACACCUGCCAGGGCCCAGACUGUGCAGGUGGAGAGACUAGGCUGUCACUUAAAGUCAACUGGAAGUUAAUAAUGACUGAGCAGGGAAGGAUGCCACUAGAAACAAGGACGAUGGUGAGGGGAUAGUAAAGCAUUUAUUGAGCACCUUCUAUGUGCCAGACCCAGUGGUCAGCACUUCACCAGCAUCACGUCACUUUAUCCUGGUGGUAAGCGUGGGAGGAACUGCUAUAUUAUCCCAAUUUCUCAGAAGAAGGAACUAAGAAGCCAUGGAACUUUCCCCAAGUCCCAAGGCUGGGAGAAAGAGACCCAGGAGGAAGCAGUUAAGGAAUCCAAGGAAUUAAAGGGAUUCAAAUGACUUCACAGACAUUUAAAAGAGACCCUAAGGCUCAGGCCAGUUACACAAUGGAAAUUCUACUGAAUAAACUGGCUCAUUGAACGACCAGCUGUGCACCAGCUAGGAUUGUUGGGAAGGACAAAUUUUGACCCAUGAUGGUCAUAAGUAUAUGACCAGCAUACAAUACCCAAGCCAAAUUGAUAGGGUAAAAAGUGCAAAGCAGUGCACCUUGAGAGAGAAAAAUAAAGUUCUGGCAUUGAACCUCAUUUGAAAAAGUGAUUGGGAACAUCUAUGCCCAGAGCUGUUGUAUUGGGACCUUCCAAGGUAUGGAAGUUUAGUUUCAGGUCCUUUGAUAAGUCGGCUUCCUCCAAAUUGGCAGUGUUGGAUAAGAUGGCAAGAGAUGGAAAGAUCCAGGAGGCCUUUCAGUCACACAUUCAUUUAGAAAGUAAAUAUUUAUUGAGCACAUGCUAUAUUCCUAUUAUUUUAGUCUAGCAAUACUUUGAAGAGCAAGCUAAGAGAAUAAGAGAGUCUGUGAAAUUAGACAGUACAAAAGUGGGAACAUGCCAGGCCAGUUUGGCUGGAGCACACUGAGAGGUGCGUGUGACAGGAAGUGAGGUUACAGGGGAAACAGAAGGCCAGAUCACACAGGGCUUUGAAGGCCAUGGUAGGGGCAUAAGAUUUUUAUAAGUUUGAUGGAAAGCCACUAGAGGACUUUGAACUAAAAUAUGGCUUGAUCUAAUUACCUUACGGGAAGAAAGAAUUCCUAAGGAGGCAAGAGAAGAGGCCAGAGGGGUGAAUGGAGGCCGAAUCAGGGUGAUAUUGGUGGAGGCCGUGAGAAGGGCUGGAUUCAGAAGACAGUUUGCCUAAGACAUGCAGGAUUUGCUGAUGGGUUGGAUGAAGGGCCUGAGAAAGGUCAAGAAUGACUCCAAGUUUUUACCUGGGUAAAUGAAUGGUGCUGCCGCUUACUUGAAUAAUUAGGUUCAAGGGGUAAAAUCAACGUAUUUCCUGACACGUUGGGUCCACAGGUCUGUUAGAUGUCCAGCUGGUCUCUAGUCUCUGUCUCUGCUUCCUGGCUGCCAUAAGCUGAGCAGCUCCCUUCAUCAUGCCUUUCUGCCGUGAUGUUACGCUUCACCUUGGGCCAAAGCAAUGGAGUCAGCCAACCAUUGACUGGACCUAUACAACUAUGAGCCAAAAUAAACUUUCCUCCGCUAAAAAACAAACCAACAAAGGAGAUGUCCAAUUGGAGAUGGCAAGCAGGCUGUUGAGUAAGUCAGUUUAGAGUUCAGAGGAGAAUUAUAGAAAACAUCUGAAGUCACCCCUUAUAGAUGGAAAAAUCUCCAAUCUCCUUAUCUAUUAUUUUUAUUUAUUUUUAGGUACUGGGGACUGAACCUAGGGUGUUUUUAUCACUAAGCUACAUCACCAGCCCUUCCUAUUUUAAGACAGGGUCUUGCUAGGUUGCCCAGGCUAGUCUUGAACUUGUAAUCCUCCUGCCUCAGCCUUCUGAGGUGCUAGGAUUACAGGCAUGUGCUGCCAUGCCCAGCUACAUUCAGCCAGAAUUUAUUGAGCACCUACUGUGUGUCCAGCAUUGUGCUGUGGUGGUGGCAGAGCAUGGAUUUGGACAGAAACUAUCCUUGUAUGGUCUUGGAGCUUCAUUACAACUUAAUUAGUUCCCUGGUUUCUGAGACUGUUCUCUGACUACUGUGAAAUAUAUAGAAUCAACUCUCAAGUGUUAUAAAUACUAAGAUGUUCUCUGACUCAGCAAUUUGGAAGAGCUUAGAUUUUUCGGAAAGCAAAAAGCUAUAUAUAGAUUUGGACAAAUGACAAAUUUACCCAAUAAAAUGUCUGAAGUCUACCUUAAAAUGAAUCAGAAGAGACUGUCUCAACCAAAUUGGUGUUCAUGAAGUCAACCUGGUGUAAUGGAAAAGCUUGCAGGGCUGGAAGGCACUUCUGUUUUGCCCAACAAGGUCACUUGAAUGACCUUGACCAAGACCUCUGCUAGUCUUGUACUUCAGUAUUCUCUUCAAUAAGCUGAAUCCAUCUGAUUCAAUGUUUUCUAAAGUUUUCAAACUACUGGCUUUUUUCUUUGUUUUACAGUGUUCAUUUUAUUGGACUAAUAAUUUUUUUAAAAUAAAGGCCCAAAUUCCUAAGGUGAUUCUUCUCUUGAGGGCCCACCUUCCACAGCAAAAGAAAG